CAGAUCAAAGUCAUGUUUUUGAUGAGGAGGAUUUCUGUGUCUUCUAUUGUCAUGAAGGACAGCUGUCAGUCUGUGGUACACGUUCGGUGGAGGAACCAGACUGGAAUUUGGAAGUGAUGUCCGUC